CUUUAAUAAAAAUAUAUUAUCUUCUUAUACAUCGUUUUGCUAUUGAUAUCAUAUUAAAUAGCAAUCAAAUUGAUUACUAAUUUGGAAAUGUAUAAAUGAAGAUUCAUAUUGUCUUGAGUGCUGUUUUUAAUAUAAAAAGAAUGUUGAGUUUUCAGAGUCUUUAUUGUCAUUUUUUUGUGAUAGGACCCUACCAGACUAUAUUUGAAUACGGCAUACCCGUGAAUUCUGAACUGUUAUUCCUUAACCCAGUUUGGAGGAUAAGAGCUUACCAACUAGUUAUGUGAGUACACAGAGUACAUUAGUACUGUACACUGUCUCUAACAUGAUUUGUUAUACUGAGAUGAUUUUGAUUCAAAUAACGGUUAAAACUGCACCCUUUUUGGUAUUUUCUUGACUCUUUUUGUCUUUGAAAAUCUGCAGAAAUAUGCUGAGGCGAUGUAUUGCAAAAUAGCCAACAUACAACAAUUAAAGGAUAAUUGCAGACUACAUCCUGAUGAAGAUAUGGACGACCCUCUGUCUGGUCAACAAUAGUUUAAAUAUGGACGGGACAGUUAUGUGGCAGCUCUUCCCUGGCUCAUUCACCUCUUGCCUUCAUUUGUGAAAGGAAGAAAGACUGGAGAGGGUCAAUGUGCAACUGAAGCUACUGAUUGUGCUGUGUGAUGAGCAUCAAUCCAUGCUUUGAGGUGGAUGAAUCAGCACAGCCCUGCCUGCUCUGCGUUGGGAACAGAAGUUGCAUCCAGAGUUUUUGCAUCAUUCUGGACCAAAAAGCCAUUCCCUGCAUGAUGAAGACCACUGAUGCAGCCUUCCACUACAUCAUGAGUAAAACAACUACAGAACUUAAUACCAGGUUGAAAUGCAUUUAAGAAAAAUGAAACGUCUUUUGAAUUGAAAUGUCUGUUUUGUUAUGGAAAAAUCUUUAGUAUUGUGAAGGAUAAGCAUUUCUGCCUGCCAGUAAGGUAAUUGCAGUGUAUUUUAAUAUUCAAGUUUUGAGUAGGGUGGCAAAUUUUUUUAAACUCUCAUUUGAUUUAUUAAAGACUUUAUAAUAAGUGGUUUUCAUGUCACUGCGCUGUGGUAUAAGAUAACUUUCAUUAUUCCAUAUUGUAUUCUGUUUCUAAUUGUAGCUGAGGUAUUUAAAUAAGCAGUGUUAAAUGCAAAGUGUUGUGUGUAUCAAUGUAAAUAUUAAAUGUGAUGUACUUUAAUAAAAAGAGGUUUUGCAAUAUUUCUUGUCAUUUGUCUUUUAUAGAAACAACCCAUUAGCAACAAAAGUGGCUAUUAAUCAGUAUUUUAACACUUAACAUUGUUGAAUUCACAUUACACUGGUGUUGACCUUAAAUUAGG